rnacentral:rRNA from 1 species
UACGGAGGGGGCUAGCGUUGUUCGGAAUUACUGGGCGUAAAGGGCGCGUAGGCGGCUAUCUAAGUUGGGGGUGAAAUCCCGGGGCUCAACCUCGGAAUUGCCUUCAAAACUGGAUAUCUUGAGUUCGGGAGAGGUGAGUGGAACUCCGAGUGUAGAGGUGAAAUUCGUAGAUAUUCGGAAGAACACCAGUGGCGAAGGCGACUCACUGGCCCGAUACUGACGCUGAGGCGCGAAAGCGUGGGGAGCAAACAGG